rnacentral:rRNA from 1 species
GCUGAAAGCAUCUAAGCGCGAAGCCAACUUCAAGAUAAGAUUUCCCACCGCAAGGGUAAGACCCCAGAAAGACUAUCUGGUUGAUAGGUCGAAGGUGUAAGUGCAGCAAUGUAUUUAGCUUAUCGAUACUAAUAGGUCGAGGACUUGACCAA